ensembl:ncRNA lncRNA:CR44800 long non-coding RNA:CR44800
GCCAGCCACAAAUGACGGCUUAAUCUUGAGUCCUCGGUGACCUGCUGGGCGCCUCGUAAAUUGUUAAAUGUGGCAUGCAUAAUUGCAACUAGAAAACGUCAGCUUAUCAAAAUAUAAAAAAAAGAGCAGCGGACACGCCCCGCGGAGUUGGCAGAUCGGCGAUCUAUAAACCUCAGUCAGACAAAACAUUUUCGAAUCUCGGACAGCUGCAACACCCAAAAACCUCAUCGAGGGCAUUACAAGCUCAUCAAAAACUCGGGCGCAGCCUCAUCAUCAUCAUCGGAUCCUUUCCUCCCUCCCUCGAUUGUCAUUCAAAUGAACCCGUUUCACGUCAGCCCAUUGCUCCUGAUAUUUUUUGUGACAUUUUCCGUAUU